rnacentral:rRNA from 1 species
GACGGUAGGGGGCCAGCGUUGUUCGGAAUUACUGGGUGUAAAGGGUUCGUAGGCGGUGUGGCAAGUCGGGUGUGAAAUCUUGGAGCUUAACUCCGAAACUGCAUUCGAUACUGCCGUGCUUGAGGACUGGAGAGGAGACUGGAAUUUACGGUGUAGCGGUGAAAUGCGUAGAUAUCGUAAGGAAGACCAGUGGCGAAGGCGGGUCUCUGGACAGUUCCUGACGCUGAGGCACGAAGGCCAGGGGAGCAAACGGG